rnacentral:rRNA from 1 species
UACGUAGGGGGCAAGCGUUGUCCGGAAUCAUUGGGCGUAAAGCGCGCGUAGGCGGCCCGGUAAGUCCGCUGUGAAAGUCCAAGGCUCAACCUUGGAAUGCCGGUGGAUACUGUCGGGCUAGAGUCCGGAAGAGGCGAGUGGAAUUCCUGGUGUAGCGGUGGAAUGCGCAGAUAUCAGGAGGAACACCUAUGGCGAAGGCAGCUCGCUGGGACGGUACUGACGCUGAGGCGCGAAAGCGUGGGGAGCGAACAGG